rnacentral:miRNA from 1 species
CACCCGCAUCAGAUUUGUGAAGAAUAUCUUUUGAAAGAAUUUUCAUAACAACAGGAAAACCGAUAUUUUUCGCAAGUUCUUUCGCCUC